GAUGAAGAACGUAGCGAAAUGCGAUAAGUAGUGUGAAUUGCAGAAUUCAGUGAAUCAUCGAAUCUUUGAACGCACAUUGCGCCCUUUGGUAUUCCAAAGGGCAUGCCUGUUCGAGCGUCAUUUGUACCCUCAAGCUUUGCUUGGUGUUGGGCGUCUUGUCUCUAGCUUUGCUGGAGACUCGCCUUAAAGUAAUUGGCAGCAGGCCUACUGGUUUCGGAGCGCAGCACAAGUCGCACUCUCUAUCAGCAAAGGUCUAGCAUCCAUUAAGCCUUUUUUUCAACUUUUGACCUCGGAUCAGGUAGGGAUACCCGCUGAACUUAAGCAUAUCAAUAAGCGGAGGA
rnacentral:misc_RNA from 1 species